rnacentral:ncRNA from 1 species
CGAAAGUCAAAGAUCAGAAAGAGUAAAUAUAGAAAUUGAGUCCAAGCGAGUCUGGAAUGGUGUGAGCCGGAUACUGCAGUCUAUAUUGAAUGGUUCUGUGAGACGAAAUGUGAAAUGAUAGUAGCAUUUUACGGGAGUCAGCCGUUACAAUGACAGGGUAUCGAUGUAUUUCUGUACCUGGAAAAGAAAAUCUACAUUUAGGUGGCAUAGCGAGUAAAAUAUCUCGUCCUAAAAGGACGAGAUAUUUUUUUAUUUUUAAUUUUAUAUUAUAAGCUAUGUUUGGCCAGUAUAGUAGAUAAAUAUGGGUGGCACCACGAGUCACUUCGUCCCAUAA